UAACACACUGAGAGGCAUGAUCUCAUCACAGAAGAUGUCUCCACAUGACAAAACAAAACAACUUCCUGGUUUUUUUCUGCAGACAAAAACACCGUACCACCUCACAACCUGGCACAGUAUCGCAUAUUACACAUAUCUUUCGUUCACAUUUUGGUUCCUUGUUGGAUACUUGGAAACCAGGAUUA